UACGGAGGAUGCAAGCGUUAUCCGGAUUCAUUGGGUUUAAAGGGUGCGUAGGCGGAACGAUAAGUUAGUGGUGAAAGCCCCCGGCUUAACCGGGGAACUGCCAUUAAUACUGUCGUUCUUGAGUAUAGUUGAAGUAGGCGGAAUGUAUCAUGUAGCGGUGAAAUGCUUAGAUAUGAUACAGAACACCGAUAGCGUAGGCAGCUUGCUAAGCUAUAACUGACGCUCAGGCACGAAAGCGUGGGGAGCAAACAGG
rnacentral:rRNA from 1 species